ensembl:lncRNA
CAAGGAAAGUCUUUUGUCAUACACAUGCUCAAUGCAGCAAUAGAGACAGAGGAAUAAGAUAUAUAUUAUAUACAAUAGGAAUAGUGCAUACAGUAAUAUGCAGUAGGAUAGUACAAAAUAUAAUAUCAAAUAACCCCAACGAAGUAACAAUGUAACUAUAUCCUGAAAAAUAAAAUAACUUAACUAUCAGUGCAGGUGACUCUAAAAAGUGACAUAGUAUUAUGCAACUAAAUAAAAGAGAGUAGCAGCAUAUGAUGGGGAGAUGAAACAAACAUUCAAUAAAAUACUGUUGGGUGAUAUUGCACGGUCUAAAUGGGAACAGAAUAACGUUGGUAGUAAUCCUCAGGAAAAUCCCCUACAGAGCGAGGAAGAGUUGUACAGUCUUAUUGCCACUGGCAUGAAGGAUUUCCUGUGGCGGUCAGUUCUGCAUUUCGGGGCGAUUAGUCUUUUGCUGCGUGUGCUCCGAUGGUCCAUCACGGAGGCAUGCAUGGGAUGGCAGAGGUUGUCCAUAACACAAAGAAGCUUCUUUAGCAUUCUCCUCUCGGACACCUCCAGGUUCUCCAGUCUGACACCCAGGAUAGAACCAGCCUUUUAGAUCAGCUUGUUCAGCCUGUUGGCAUCAGCUGUCUUCACCCCACUGCCCCAGCACACAGCUGCAAAGAACGCUUUCUACCACAGCGUGAUAGAACAUGGUCAGCAUUUUCCUACCAACAUUGAAGAACCUGAGCCACCUCAUUAGGAAAAGCCAACUCUGCCCUUUUUUGAAGACAGCAGUUGUCGUGGUCCUGAGUCUGUGGACCCAGUGGUGGACUUUUAGGUUUUGAUUAUUAUCUUAUGUUUUAGGUUCAUUCUUGUUGGGAAUUUCUUGUUCUCAGGUUUUGAUUAUUAUCUUAUGUUUUAGGUUCAUUCUUGUUGGGAAUUUCUUGUUCUCAGGUUUUGUUUCUGUUUUGUAUUUCAAGCUCCUUUUGUUCUGUGUCCCUGUGCCUGCCCUGGUCCCACGUCUUUAUGUUCCCUCCCUGUCGCCAUGUCUUGUGUUAAGUUCAUGUCUGUGCAAACCUGUUGUAUUUCCUGUUUU